rnacentral:rRNA from 1 species
UAGUCCACGCCGUAAACAAUGGAUACUAGGUGUCCGGAGUGUUAACUCUCUGGGUACCGUAGCUCACGCGUUAAGUAUCCCGCCUGGGGAGUACGGUCGCAAGGCUAAAACUCAAAGGAAUUGACGGGGGCCCGCACAAGCGGUGGAGUAUGUGGUUUGAUUCGAAGCAACGCGCAGAACCUUACCUGGACUUAACAUUCACUGACAACUCCAGAGAUGGAGCUUUCCCUUCGGGGACAGUGGGAUAGGUGCUGCAUGGCUGUCGUCAGCUCGUGUCGUAAGAUGUUGGGUUAAGUCCCGCAACGAGCGCAACCCUUAUCCUUAGUUGCCAGCAUUAAGUUGGGCACUCUGGGGAGACUGCCGGUGUUAAACCGGAGGAAGGCGAGGAUGACGUCAAGUCCUCAUGGCCCUUACGUCCAGGGCUACACACGUACUACAAUGGCAAAGACAGAGGGUCGCGAUACCGUGAGGUGGAGCUAAUCCCAAAAACAUUGUCUCAGUCCGGAUUGAAGUCUGC